GAUGAACGCUGGCGGCGUGCCUAAUACAUGCAAGUCGAGCGAACGGACGAGAAGCUUGCUUUUCUGAUGUUAGCGGCGGACGGGUGAGUAACACGUGGAUAACCUACCUAUAAGACUGGGAUAACUUUGGGAAACCGGAGCUAAUACCGGAUAAUAUUUUGAACCGCAUGGUUCAAAAGUGAAAGACGGUCUUGCUGUCACUUAUAGAUGGAUCCGCGCUGCAUUAGCUAGUUGGUAAGGUAACGGCUUACCAAGGCAACGAGGCAUAGCCGACCCGAGAGGGUGAUCGGCCACACGGGAUGUGAGGCACGGUCCCGACACCUGCGGUAGGCAGCAGUCGAGAAUCUUCCGCGAUGGGGGAAAGCCGGACGGAGCAACACCGCGUGAGUGAUGAAGGUCUUCGGAUGGUAGAACUCUGUUAUUAGGGAAGAACAUAUGUGUAAGUAGCUGUGAAGAUCUUGACGGUACCUGAACAGAAAGCCACGGCUAACUACGUG
rnacentral:rRNA from 1 species